AAUAGAUACCCCGGUAGUCCACGCCGUAAACGAUGAGUGCUAAGUGUUAGAGGGUUUCCGCCCUUUAGUGCUGCAGCUAACGCAUUAAGCACUCCGCCUGGGGAGUACGGCCGCAAGGCUGAAACUCAAAGGAAUUGACGGGGGCCCGCACAAGCGGUGGAGCAUGUGGUUUAAUUCGAAGCAACGCGAAGAACCUUACCAGGUCUUGACAUCCUCUGCCGACCCUAGAGAUAGGGCGUUCCCCUUCGGGGGACAGAGUGACAGGUGGUGCAUGGUUGUCGUCAGCUCGUGUCGUGAGAUGUUGGGUUAAGUCCCGCAACGAGCGCAACCCUUGAUCUUAGUUGCCAGCAUUCAGUUGGGCACUCUAAGGUGACUGCCGGUGACAAACCGGAGGAAGGUGGGGAUGACGUCAAAUCAUCAUGCCCCUUAUGACCUGGGCUACACACGUGCUACAAUGGAUGGUACAAAGAGCAGCGAACCCGCGAGGGUAAGCCAAUCUCAUAAAGCCAUUCUCAGUUCGGA
rnacentral:rRNA from 1 species